GCCUUUUUCAUUUAACUCACCUCUCAAACCCGUACGUGUAGAGGUAUCUGCAGUUUCAGCGAUUCGAUUAAGAUCCAUUUGCACUGCUCGUCUAGUGCUUGACAAAGGAACCUUAGAUAUUUAUCACUCCAAUGCAUAAAUACAUCUACAUAGAUUAACUAAUAGCAGCAGAUGACAAUAUUGACAAUAUUGUAAACAUAUAUAUAUAUAUAUAUAUAUAUAUAUAUAUAUAUAUAUAUAUA
rnacentral:lncRNA from 1 species